rnacentral:tRNA from 1 species
AGAUAUGUUAUAUUUGUAAUGAUUUUCAACUAGUUAGGCGGGGUAUACUCGACAUUCAUAAUGCUGGGGUCGGUGGUUCAAGUCCACCCGUAGCUACCA